CAGCCACAACGCGUUUAAACACUGGUUCCCGUACAAUCACCGAAGUUAAGCAAUGACAAACUUGGUCAGUACCUAGAUGGGUGACCGUUGAGGAAUACUAAGUGCUGUAA